AUGAUGUCACUGGUUCUACUGAUGGUCACCCUGGGGCUCCUUGUUCAGGGUUCCUCAGGAGACAUCCUCCUGACUCAGACUCCUGGAUCUCUGUCUGUUGUUCUAGGACAAACUGUCUCUAUCAGAUGUAAAGCAAGUUCACAUGUGGACAAUGAGGUAGACUGUUAUCUUCAGAAACAUGGAGAAGCCCCUAAGCUCCUGAUUUGGUGGACUUCCAACCGUCAGUCUGGAGUUUCAGAUCGUUUCAGUGGGAGUCAGUCUGGAACUGACUUUACUUUGACCAUCAGUGGAGUCCAGACUGAAGAUUCAGGAGAUUAUUAUUGUCAGCAGGGUAGCAGCUUCCCGUUCACACAGUGAUAC